rnacentral:rRNA from 1 species
AUUGAACGCUGGCGGCAGGCCUAACACAUGCAAGUCGAGCGGAUGAAGGGGGCUUGCUCCUGGACUCAGCGGCGGACGGGUGAGUAAUGCCUAGGAGUCUGCCUGGCCGUGGGGGAUAACGUCCGGAUACGGGCGCUAGUACCGCAUCCGUCCUGAGGGAGAAAGUGGGGGAUCUUCGGACCUCACGCUAUCAGAUGAGCCUAGGUCGGAUCAGCUAGUUGGUGGGGUAAAGGCAGACCAAGGCGACGAUCCGUAACUGGUCUCAGAGGAUGAUCAGCCACACUGGAACAGAGACACGGUCCAGACUCCAACGGGGGGCCACGGGGGGGAAUAUUGGACGAUGCGCCAAAGCCUAAUCUAGCCCAACCGCGUGUCGCAAGAAGGUCUUCGGAAUGAAAAGCACUUUAAGCUAGGAGGAAGGGCAGUAAGUUAAUAACUUGCUAUUUUGACGUUACCAACAGAAUAAGCGCCGGCUAACUUCGUG